GGGCCCGUAGCUUAGCCCGGUAGAGCGCCCGGCUCAUAAGACCGGGUGGUCCGGGGUUCAAGUCCCCGCGGGC
rnacentral:tRNA from 1 species